rnacentral:lncRNA from 10 species
AUAGUUAUUCCAGUAAGAGGAUAUUAAGCUCCCUCAAACAGGCCCUGUAUAUCUAACAGGCUCUGGCCCCCAGCCUCCCCUGACGCAGCUCUGUUACACUGCAGCACACCCCUGGCCUCCCAGCAACUCCAAGAAGGGAGAGGAGGGAUGGGGGAGGUAGGGAUAAUCUGGUGUCAUUAAACACACAGGCCUUUGUGGAGGUUACCGUACACCAACAGCAGGAAGCUUUUUCUUCCUUCUGAGAGCAUAGGGAGCCUAUGUGAUUUUGUUUUUUUUUUGUUUGUUUUGGUUUUUUUGUUUUUUGCUACCCCUGUGCUCCUGGCUAUUUUACCUCCAGAGCUGCUGGUGAUAAGUUGGUAAAGGAGGACCUCCUUAAACCAUUUGUUAAACCAUUUGAGACUGUUCCUAGUACUUGUUUUAAGCUAUUUUACAUGAUUUUUAAUGUAAUAAACACAUUUAUAAUACUA